GAAAUAGCUUACAAAUAAAAGGUUAAGCCGUAAAGGUAUGUAAGUUUUACCAAAUUCUGAUAUUUCAUUUUGAGUUAAAGAUCAUUGAUCAGUGCCUGACUUGAGAAUCAGAGUACCUUUUAUAGGUAUCCUCCACCUGGGUACGAACCUGAAGCAUUGGGAGUAAAAGGUUCAGAGGUCAGGAGGACAAGAAGGCUACG
rnacentral:lncRNA from 1 species